GAGUGCCUGCGCGCCGAACCCCGGCGGGCAGCAUCCGUCCAGCCGCUCAGCACCACCCGCGCCUCCAACGGGAGAGCCGCAGGUCUAUCCCAAGUCUCAGGCUGCAACGGAUGGCAGUGCCCCGGCAAGGGACGCAACGCGGCCUUCCCCUGCGGCAAUUUACAAGCGGGCGCCUUUUCUGUGCAUCCCCUAUGUCCCUGCGAAACCGAGCGGAAGGGGAAGGUGGGGGGGGAGCAGGGAAGUGCAGAGGUGUUCGCGGAAAGCUCUGCACCCCGAUUGUUGCUAGCUCCAUCUCGCAGGGUGAGAUAAUGGGCACAGAGAAGUUUAGUAACUUGCCUGAGGUCACACAGCCUGUAGCUGCUGACCCGGCUGCAAACCCAUGGCCUAUAGCAAGAGGC
rnacentral:lncRNA from 1 species